AGGGCAUUCGCGGCUAAGUUCCCCGGAAGUCUAUUCAUGGUUUUGGUUUAUGCGAACAAGUUGGCCGCCACCACGGGGUCGAAGGGCACUUCGAAUGGCUUCGGGAGUUUGGGAGUUCGAAGUGCCACUUCGAAAGUUGGAAUGGUUCCUGUUAUAAGUCCCAACAGGCACAAAUAGGGAUUUAAAGCAAAUUUUAUCACAGGGACCAUAGUCACACGGUAAGAAGCUGGCAAGUAUGCCCCUCCAAGAAACUGAGACGAGGUCC